AUGGCGCACGCCACCGUCCAGGGCGCGCCCAUGACACGCCCGUGCCCGCGUCCGUCGGCCCCCCUGAUCGUCUUCCUCGUCCUGCUCGCCUCCUGCUACCUCGCCCUCACGCGCCUGCCCGCCGCGGCCCCGCUAGCCGCCCUGAUCGCCCCUUCCGCGGGCCAUGCCUCCGGCCACGGCGCUGUCGACAGCUGUGCCGGGUUCUACCGCGGCGCGGGCGCAGCGGGGAGGCGCGCGGUGACAGCGUCGGUGGAGGAGUUUGGGGCCGUGGGCGACGGGGUCACGUCCAACACGGCGGCGUUCCGGCGCGCCGUGGCUGCGCUGGAGGAAAGGGGUGGCGGCGGUGGCGCCAGGCUGGAGGUGCCGGCAGGGAGGUGGCUCACGGGGAGCUUCAACCUCACCAGCCGCUUCACGCUCUUCCUGCACCAUGGCGCGGUCAUCCUCGGCUCCCACGAUCCAGAAGAGUGGCCUCUCAUUGCACCUUUGCCUUCUUACGGGCGCGGAAGGGAAAGAUUAGGACCGCGCCACAUUAGCCUCAUUCACGGACAAGACCUAAAUGAUGUUGUCAUUACUGGUAGCAAUGGGACCAUAGAUGGCCAGGGCAGGAUAUGGUGGGAGCUAUGGUGGAACCGGACUUUGAACCACACAAGAGGUCAUCUCAUCGAGCUCGUGAAUUCAACCAACGUAUUGAUCUCCAAUGUCACCCUACGCAACUCCCCAUUUUGGACAGUGCAUCCGGUCUACUGCAGAAACGUGGUGAUUAAGGAUCUGACUAUACUAGCUCCCCUGAAUGCUCCAAACACUGAUGGCAUUGAUCCAGACUCAAGUUCAGAAGUUUGUGUCGAGGACUGCUAUAUCGAAAGUGGAGAUGACCUGGUUGCUGUCAAGAGUGGUUGGGAUCAGUAUGGGAUAUCUGUAGGCAAACCCAGCUCAAACAUUAUCAUCCAGCGGGUUUCAGGCACCACACCUACGUGCUCCGGUGUGGGUUUCGGAAGCGAGAUGUCGGGUGGGAUAUCAAACGUGCUUGUCCGCGACCUCCACAUAUGGAACUCUGCUUCCGCAGUGAGGCUAAAGACCGAUGUGGGGCGCGGCGGGUACAUAACCAACAUCACCAUCGCCAAUGUGACGAUGGAGAAGGUCAAGGUGCCAAUAAGGUUCAGCCGGGGUUCAGAUGACCACUCGGACGACAAGUAUGACCGAACAGCGCUACCGAUCAUCAGUGACAUUCAUAUUGUCGAUAUUGUUGGUGUGGAUGUGCAGCGUGCACCGAUGCUGGAGGCGGUGCACGGCGCGGUUUACGAGGGGAUAUGCUUCAGAAACGUUAGCCUGACAGCGAUAAGGCGUCAGAUACGGUGGCAAUGCGAGUCUGUGUUUGGAGAGGCGCAUGAAGUUUUCCCUGCACCUUGUGAAGAGUUGAGGAAUAAUGGAUCUUCUUCUUCUUGGUGUGGCCUUCCCUGA
rnacentral:rRNA from 1 species